rnacentral:lncRNA from 1 species
UGGCAAUAGCGCUUCAUAAAGGAGACAAUUUCAGCAAUAUGUGAUGCAAUUUGAUAUCACACUUAGAGAUAAAAGGUAAUUGGAAUAAUGAUUUUUUUGGAGACUUAUAUUCUAUUUUUGAAAUUAUAUGCUCUUUAUUUUGUAUUGUUAUUUGGUGGUUAUGGUAAUAUAUUUACAUUGUAAUAAAAUUAAAAUCGGACUGUGAAAGUGACUUAUCAAAAUUUUUAUGAAAUGUCAAGCAUGUAGUCGGACACAUUUCUGUUUAUUUAUUUUAUUUGAUCUCCCACGUAGAAAAUAAAAAAUAUAUGAUUGAAAUCAUUUUCUUAUAUUUUUAAAUUUUUUUAAGGUGAAUUUAUUUAAAAAGUGGGAUUUAAAUAUGCAUAAUUCAAUAACUCCGUUAUUUCUUUUUCUUACACCGCAACAUGAAGUGUGAGGUAAUAUCUUGGAGCAAUAUUGAUACUUAAAAUAUGCUAAUUCUAACUUGAAAUUUUUUUUGUGGUCUAAACAAACUUAAUUCCUCUUUACAAAUUAGUUCUUAAUUAGUGUUACAUGGCCUUGAAUUGUGAAUUAUUUUUUUUUCUUGACUAUCCUAUACAUUUGAAUAUAUCAUGAUUAAGUCCGCUUUUGUAUAAAUUUAAAUAUUUAAAAAUUAUACGAAAAUUAUUAUAAUUCACAAUUUUUCUCAUUUCAAUAUGAUGAAUAAUAAAUCUUAAACUCUUGGUCAAAGUUCAUAUUUUUUGACUUUUAAUACUAAAAUUAUGAGUUAUAAAAAUAAAUGGGUGGAGUAUGUGAUAUUAAUUUGUUACUUUCUGAAGGUUAGAGCAUGUGCUAUAUUGUUUUCCACAUGAACAUAUUUAAUUAGUAUUUUGGUGUUGCCACAGUAUUUGCCAGCAUGAUUUGAGUAUAGGAUAACCACCUCAAAGCUUUAUAUUUGUCAUGUGCUUUAACAUUUUGAUAUCAAGUUCAUAAAAGUUGCAAACAUAAUUGUUAAUAAAAUUAGUCUUUGAAAUAUGCCCUUUAAUGCAAAUGAAGGACAAAAUAAUCAUUAGUCUGUGCAACUAUGUCCUAAUUCAUAUACAGUUUUCUCAUGCUUCAAUAAAAAUUUGUCUUUCACUCCCCAUCUUCGUUCAUACACUGACCACAUCCCUUACGACAAUCACACACAUACACAUGCAUUAUAUAUAGGACAAUUGAGAUCAUAAAAUACAUCAUUAUAUAUUGGGUAUUUUUUCUUAAAAGAACAUCAUAGCAUAUUUAGGAGGACAAAAGAAGGAUAAAUACAAACAGAGGCAAAGAUACAAAGUAUUUAGGAGUUUGCAAAAAAAAAAUUAUUUGAAACAAUCAAGUUGAAGCUCUAGGUUUCGUUAAAAGUUUUUUUUAGAUUUUUCGAUAAUUUAUGAAAUUACCUUCCAAAAAUAUUUGAAGUAAUUAAUUGUUUGAUUCAUUUGUUAUUAUAUGAUGCGCUUUUAACAUGUAUACAUGCCAUCUUUUUUAUUUAUCUAAUAUAAUUAUCGUGUAUAGAUGCUAAAAUUUUUGGCAAGUUUACAUGAUUAUUUAUUUACAGUUAGUAAGUUUUUAAAUUAUGAUGAAGAACUCUAUGAUAAGAUCAACUAAUUCAAAUCUUAUUAUAAUUACAAAAUAAAAAAAAUAUAAUUUAAAUGAAAUAUAUAUCAACAGAUUAGACUGAAAUUCAAACAUAAUAUAGGGUUUUAAAAUCAUUUAUUUGAAUAAUAGGUAAAACACUAAAUAAAAAGAACAAAACAAAAUAUUAAAUUAUUAUAGUAAAAAAAUGCUUACAAGAAGAUAAUAGGGAUUGCCUGAUGUAUUAUGAUUUGAUUAAGUAAUUCUAAAAUUAUUGUUAAAAAAUUUAAGAAAAUGGAAAAAUCUAAGAAAUAGUGUAAAACUCUAUUUAAAUGUCUAUUCAAAAGAAUAAUUUAUAUACUUAUCAAAUAUUAAAAGAAAAAUAGUAAACAAGGUUAUUAAUUUUUGGGGCUAGGCUAAUAAAAAAUCACAAUAGUGAUGGUGUAAGAAUUUAAAUUUUAUGAAUUUUAAAUUUUAUGAUAGCAACAUCAAGAAAUAAUAUUUGAUUCUAAAUUCAUAUAUUUGUAUCUAUUUAGAAAAAUAAUAAAGACAAAUAUAAAAUUAAGCAAUUCUUUAAAAAAUCAAAGAAUAUUUCAGGAAUAAAAUGUCUACAUUAUAUUAAAAAGAAAGUAAUAUGUAAUGAUACCAUAGAAAGUGAUGAUAAAGUAAUAAAAUAUCAUCCUAGCAAAGUAAAAUACUCAUAGUUGAAAUAGUGGUUAAAUGCAUUAAAAUAAUAUAAAAAAUUAAAAAGUUAUUUGGUGACUAUAUAAUAAUUUUUCUUAAAUUAAUAGUAAUUUUUAUUAUUGAGAAUAUUAUAUUGAGAAAUAAAAUUACAGUUGAAAUAUAAUAUAACAUAAUCAAAUAUGCUCGAGUAAAUAGUUGAAUUGAUAUUAUAUUUCUUUAGUUUUGUGUAAUCUCAAAAACCUCUAUUCAUACGCAGUAUGAAAGGGUGUUUGGCAUGUUUAAAAGAUUGACUUGAAAUUCACACUAUGACUGCUUCUUUCAUUGAGUUAGCUAAAGAAAAUCAAAAUUAUUACUAAUUAUCAAGAGUUUACACUUUUUGAUGUUAUUUUUAUUUAAUAACUUAAUUAAAAAAACUUAAUAUCAUUUAUGUGUCAAAAAUUUUAUAUUUAUAAACAACUAAUAAAUGAUCAUGAAUUAGAUAGUUUAAAUUUCACAAUCAAUAAAAGAAAACAAAAUUUUAAUGGGUCAAACUAAUAAAAUAAUAAUAUUUUAAAAAAACUUCUCUCUAAUAAUUUUCGCGCAUCGCGCAGGAACGAAUGCUAGUACGUACACACAACAACACAUCAGGGGGAAUCCUCCGUUUCCAUUCAAUACUCACACUAUAGAUUGCACACAUUCUUACAAUACAGAGGACAUUAUAGUAAACCAACACACACAGGAAAUCGAGAAGGGAGAGAGAGAGCUAGUGAUUGAGAGGGACUUGAUCGGUUAACAGUAAGAAAUUGGUCAAAAAAAGGGUGACAUAGAGAGAAAUCAGAGAAGGUUGAACGAAAAGCGAUGAGAAUUGGCUGAUUUGGAGUUUUCCAGUGAAUAUUUUGCCAAAAUCGACCAUUUUCAACAACCAUUGUUAAAACCUGACCAGAAUAACCCCAAAAUCCAUCAGAAAAAGCAAAAAUCCAACCGCUCCAUUCUAGUUCUUCGGUGAAGCAGUAGCGGGGUACAAAAUUUAGUGCGGGUUUCUCUUUACUUCGUCAUUUUUGGUUUGGGUUGAAACAAACUUUAUCUUUUGUCACCUAAUAAUAAAAACCUUUUCAAAACUUAAAAGUAUUUUUUUGUUUGGGUAAAAAAGAGGUGUGAUAGCUAUAGUAAUCCUCUGUUUGGAUGAUGGUUUUCCAUGGUAGGAUAUGGUAUAAUUUUUAAGAUAACUAUGUUUGUUUUGAUUGUUUCUUAAAAUAUAUGGUAUGAUAUGGUUUAAUUUCAUGAAUUGGUAACCAUGAAAACCCCCUUUUUUGUAACCACUAGUUUGGUGGUAUCCCAUGGUUUGCUUAUUUUUUUCCAAUUAUACCCUUACUUAAUAUUAAUCUUAUUUUAUCAUUCACCUUAUAUUAUUUAACUCCACAUCCUACUCCGGACCCCAAUCCCACCAGCCUCCCCUCCACCCCCUCCCGUCGAAUUGACCCCAUCCCACCUAUAUUUUUUUAAAUUUUUUUAGAAAGAUUUCAAAAACUUGUUCUAAUCUAACNNNNNNNNNNNNNNAAGCUCCCCCCUUCCUCCCUUCCCCUUCCCCCCCAAUACAAAAAAAAAAGAUAUAAUUUUAUUAAUUAUUUUUUUUUCAAAAAAAAAAUAGAACUCUUUUCUUACCCCACCCCUACCCGUAUCCCGACCCGCUACUCCACUACUCUUACCCCCAAAUAUUUCAUUAAAAAAAUUCAAUUUUGUAACCCCACCACCCUUUACCAUAUACGUUUUCAUUAGUUUGUGUUAAAUAUAUACAAAUGCUUUUAGAAUUUUUUUAUACUUGUGUUAUAAACACAAGAAAAUAAGCAAGAAAUAAUUUAUUUUCUUAAAAGAAAAAAUUAUUUGGGAUUCCAUACCGAACACACCCGUAACAUACACAAAAAGUGUAUAUAAAUUUUGUACUUGUCAUCAGUGUCACGUCUCAAAACAUCAAAAAUAAAUGAAAUUCGUUACUGUAAAAAAUAAAUCCAGUUAUAUUUAUUUGAUCUACUAUUUUAUUGACUUUGUUAGAAUUUACAUAAAUUUAACAACUCAAUAUAUAUACAUGACGUAAUUAUGAUAAAUUAAUAGGAAGAAAAUUAUUUUAUUAACAAUUAUUGAUAAAUUUAAUAUUUAUAAUAAUUAAGGAUAUUUUAGUAAACUUACCCGUUACAAUACAGUACCAUACUAUCAAACAAAAUAAUAAAACUAUCAUUAAACAAUAGUGAACGAUAUAGUCUAUCCAAACAUUGUAUUGUAAUAUACUGUAUUGUACUAUACCAUACCAUACAGUACCGUACAUUAUGAAACCAUGGAAAACCACCAUCCAAACAAAGUGUAAAGGUUCUGUUGAGAAAUCAGUCAGUUGAGGGAGCUACUUAGGCAGCAGAGGCAGAUAUGAUGACCAAGCACCCCCAACUUUUCCUUUCGAACUUAGUCCCAACUUGAGGUAAUAGUUUCCCGUAAUUAAGUAAUAAGUUUUUUAAUUUCUAUAUCAGUCAUCCAACUAUUGCUAUGUUAUAACAUGCAUUCAUGAGUUCAGUUCAAUCUAUGAAGCAGUCACAGAUUUAGAUAUCAGCUCAUGGUUCAUCUUAUAAGUGUUCAGUGCAAAAUCUCAGCUUUUUCCUAGUAUUUCAGCUUAGUUAGUUUCAUUCGAGGACAAAUAAUCCCAAGGGAGAAAUAUUGUAAUACCCUAAGUUUUUAAGCUCUAGAACCAUCAAAGAUUAGGUCAUUAAAUUAGCUUUCCAAUGUCAGUAGUUUUUCCUUAAUCUGAUGUUGUGGCAAAAGUUAUAGAAAAUUCCCUUAGGGCCUAUCUAACUGCCAGAGACAACGAAUCUAGCAAUGAGUCAUUACCAGGCGUAACGAGUCAUUGCACACGAGUCGUUGCCACUUCAGUAAGCGGUCUCAUAUUAUGUCCUAGUGGCAAUGAGUCCAGCUCACAUCUCGUUGUAAGACAUAACGAGAUAUGGUGUAGACCUAUUACCACAAUAGUGAGGAAUCCCAAAUUUAGCCCAGUGAUGACGAGUCCAGCCUAUGACUUAUUAUCAAUCCUAACGAGUCGUUAGGUGGAAUUGUCGUCACACCAGUAAGAAACCCAAAAAUUGAAUCUCAAACCACAAAUACUCCUUAUGACUCGUGAUCUGACCUAACGAUUUUUUAGAAGUGACAUUCAUUUCCUUAAAAAUGAGGGCUCAGAACUCAGGACCUCAGGUCAUGACUCAGACCACGACUCGUGACCAAUCAUAAUAAGUCAUUGGGUGAGUCAUGACUGCUGAAACCAGAAAUUCCGCAUGAUUUUUAAAGGGCUUUUAACUCUUUUCGAUCUCUUUUAAUGCAAAACCCACACCAUUUAGGCUCCCCAAUGAUGGUAUAAAAUACCAAAAUUCUCCAAAUUCAUCAUUUUGUCGUAAAUUCCACCCACAACAAAGAAAAGAGGCAAUUUUUUCUUCUCUAAAGGCAACUAAGGUUCUCCAAACUCAAGCAUAAGUUGCAAUCAAUUUCCCAUGAAAUUCACUUUAGGUAUGUGAGAUUUCAUCAUUGGGUCCUUCCACCCAUUGAGUCCCAGGAACUCUUAAAUUUCAAGUAAAAUUCUUUUUUCCUUGAAUUAAGUUCCAGGUAAAAUAUGAGUUUUCUUACUCUCCUCAGUUUAUGUGUGUAACAAAAUCAUCAGUAUGUGUUGUCCAUGAUAUUAAUGAUUUCCCCAUGUUCAAAAUCAUGAGUUUCCCUAUCAUGACAAGUCGUUGAGGUUGUUGGUUUUAAAUUGUGAAAUCCCCUUAUCAUGCUCUGUAAAUGUCAUCAUAUUUAGUUGCAUUAGUCAAAGUUGGUGAUUAUGAACACCCGAUACGUAGAUAGUCAUGCACAUAUUAGUUUUCAUAUUAUGAACUAUUCAGAUCAUCGAGUGAAUAGAAGGAUGAAGGCUUACCCUCUAGUUGAGGACUGAGACCUUUAAUAGAAGUGCCUAAGUUCCAGAACUACAAUCCCACCAUAGGUUAUGAGUGGUCAUAUGCCAGUAGAGGACUGACAUCCUAGUCCUUUGGGACAUCAAUUUAGUAGAUCCACGUCAGCCAGUAUUGGUAACCUUAGCAAGGUACUGAUACCUUCCAACUGAGGUAGUAGGUUGGACCUCAAUUAGCUUAGAUUGAGACAGGCCAGUUAUUAUUAGCUCCCACAGUCCUCAGUUCAGUUUCAGUUUAUGAUCAGAUCAAGUUUUCUUGACGAAGUUUUUAGUAUUUAAUUAUUUAGUUUAUCCAGGACAUGUUUAUACUUGGUCUUGCAUCCGCUUUACAUGUCAUGCUUUUAUGUUCACUUUAUACUUGUUUGUUAGCUUUCCAUCUCGAAUACUCAGUACAUUCAAAGUACUGAUCACAUACUUUUUUGCGCUAUAUUGUCUUAUAAUAUAGGUUUGGAUGCUUAGUACUCAAACCACACUUAGCACGUUCCUGUUCCACUCAGUUGUAGCCUUGGUGAGUUUUUAUCAGUUGAGAACUAGUUAUUAUUUAUUUAUUUUCAGUAUUUUAUAUUAUUUUGAUCAGUUAGAGUUUAGUUCGGGACCUAUCCCAAUAGCUCAUCAUGAUUUAGAGGCUUUCAAACAGUUAGACAUUAGACAUAUUUUUAGUUUCAUUUAGUAUUUCAGACAACAUUAGUAUUGACUUUGUUAUUAUUCAAUAUCAUUUAUUUCAAUUAACUUUUGCUCAGUAUUUUUUUUUACUUUCCUUCAGUAAUUAUAGCUUAUGUUAUGUAAUGGGUUAGUUUGGGGUCAAUUGUGACUUUAAGUAUUGUGUUACGACUAGGGGGCAUCGUGAUACAACAUUUGAAAGCUAACAUAUAAGAUUGGGAGGCGUCGUUUUUAAGAAGUGAAAUGAUGUUUGUAUCAGGGUGAGUAAAACUAUAGCCUACGUUUGUCCCAAUGGGUUUUCCUGGCAAGGUUUUUAAUGAGAAAGCAAACAAACGCAUAUUGUAAAAUAUGUGUACUUUUUUCCUUCACUAGGAAUUUUUUCCACAGGUUUUUUCCUAGUAAGAUAUUAACAAGGAACAUCAUCUAUGGAUAUCAGGGGGAG